rnacentral:tRNA from 1 species
GGGGCAUUAGCUCAGUUGGCUAGAGCGCUUGGUUCGCAAUCAAGAAGUCGAGGGUUCGAAUCCCUUAUGCUCCA